rnacentral:rRNA from 1 species
CCUACGGGAGGCAGCAGCAGGGAAUCUUGCGCAAUGGGCGAAAGCCUGACGCAGCGACACCGCGUGGGGGAAGAAGGCCUACGGGUCGUAAACUCCUUUUCUCGGGGAAGAAGCUCUGACGGUACCCGAGGAAUAAGCCUCGGCCAACUACGUGCCAGCAGCCGCGGUAAUACGUAGGAGGCGAGCGUUAUCCGGAUUUACUGGGCGUAAAGAGCGCGUGGGCGGCUCCUCAAGUUAAGUGUGAAAGCUCCUGGCUUAACCGGGAGAGGUCAUUUAAUACUGAGGGGCUUGAGGGCAGCAGAGGGAGGUGGAAUUCCCGGUGUAAUGGUAAAAUAUGUAGAUAUCGGGAGGAACACCGAUGGCGAAGGCAGCCCCCUGGGUUGACACUGACGCUCAUGCACGAAAGCGUGGGAAGCAAAC